ACAGCAUUAUCAAAACUUUGCAUUUCUUUAAAAAAAUGAUAUAUAUAGUAGUUCUUUUGCACACAUCUAUCAUGUAAGCUAUCUGAAGCACCAAGCUACAUUCAAAUGAUUUUUAUUUCAAGCCAAAAUAUUGCUUGUUUUUUUAUGGAUUUACAAUGCAAUCAAGACAUUCCAGAGGGAUCUUGGCACCCACCAUUACAUGAUUUUUAUAGGUUUCAUGUCAGACUGAUCUUCUCUCUAUUUUCCCCUUUUUCCUCUUACAUGAACACAUGAAACCUACAAGUGAAAUCUGAGAAACAUUUAUAACAAACUUGAAUUCUCGAAAUACAAGAUGGCCUCCUGUCGGCCAUUUUAUCAUUUGUGUCAUAAUAGUUUAUGUAUAAAUGUAGACCAUAUAAGUUUAGAACCCCAUUUUAUUAACAAUAAUAGACAGUAUUGUUUAAAUUCAAACAUUUGUCAUGGUCAUGUAGGUUUUAGGGACUGUUUGUUAAAUUUGAAAAUUUGAAAUAUUUUUUUUUAAUUUUAUUUUUUGAGGGUAUUAGCUAUUGUAUCCGGAGACACAAUAUUCCCGACCACCGCCACGGGGAGGCUCCCUCUUUAGAUGAUCCUGAAGCUGAUUGUCUCCCCUGCCAUGUUGCUGAAUGACUGGAUCUAGCUGCCCUCUCCUGUAGUCGGACUUUCGAGCGGACUUGGACCUUUUCUUAUGAUCUUUAUGCUGUGCUGCCAGUCUUGAUAGAGCUCUCUUCUUCACUUCAGGAGCUCCAAUACCAACAUCUGGUCAUCUGGCGUCAUCUGAAGAUGAUGUAUCUGGUUCGAACUGAGGAACAUUGAGCGCACCCACCAGUUGUCACCGUCAUCUCCAGAGCACACCUCGGAGUGCUGACUACACUUGGAACAGUCCCCUGAAUAGCACGACACGGUGGCAUCUAACACAUCAGUCUCCGAGUCUGACGAGGCGGUGGAUGCAUGUAUUGUACAGGGUCUAUCUUCGGUGUCCGCUGCUACAUUGGAUUGACUUUCCGGUCUUGGUGUUGUCACCAGCUGAGAUACUUUGGUGACGGUCAGUCUUCUGGUCAGAACUGGGGUCACCUCUGUGUUGACAGGGUCCUGUGUGAAAAGUCCUGAUUUGACCUCUACCCCUGACCCGGAUGU